rnacentral:rRNA from 1 species
GAUGAACGCUAGCGGCAGGCCUAACACAUGCAAGUCGAGGGGUAGAGGAAGCUUGCUUCCUUGAGACCGGCGCACGGGUGCGUAACGCGUAUGCAAUCUACCUUUUACAGAGGGAUAGCCCAGAGAACUUUGGAUUAAUACCUCAUAGUAUUUUCGAAUGGCAUCAUUUGAUUAUUAAAGUUCCAACGGUAAAAGAUGAGGAUGCGUCCUAUUAGCUAGAUGGUAAGGUAAAGGCUUACCAUGGCAACGAUAGGUAGGGGUCCUGAGAGGGAGAUCCCCCACACUGGUACUGAGACACGGACCAGACUCCUACGGGAGGCAGCAGUGAGGAAUAUUGGACAAUGGGCGCAAGCCUGAUCCAGCCAUGCCGCGUGCAGGAAGACGCAUCUAUGGUGUGUAAACUGCUUUUGUACGGGAAGAAACACUCCCUCGUGAGGGAGCUUGACGGUACCGUAAGAAUAAGGAUCGGCUAACUCCGUGCCAGCCGCCGCGGUAACAC